rnacentral:lncRNA from 1 species
UUCCCUGUGCCCAUGAGGAGCCUAAAGACUGAAGGCACACACAGAGCUGCUCCUGGGUGGAAUCCUGUAUCACUGCAAUCACCUGCCUGGCUUCCUGCCUCCAGAUCCUUCUCAUACCCACAGCUGAGAUCCCUGUCACCCAUCCCCUGCAGGCUCAAAGCCACCCCUGCAAUCAGGCAGAAUUUAAGGAGACCGAGGACAGAGAAGUACCAUGGUUACCAAUGAAAUACCAUUUCAC